UAUCUGGGAAGAUACUCCUUUUUGUUCUUUGUCUGAAACCUUCAACAAUUUUCCAAUCUGAGAAAAUAAUCUUUGUCGGCCGAUCGACGAAGCUGUAUCGAAAUCCAUCCGAAAUCCACUUCCAUCGUCUUCGCUUAUACAUCAAUUCUUUGCAAAUUAUAAGAUCUUAAAAGAGAUUAGUAGCCAUAUUUCGAUGGUUUCUCAAAAGAAGAAGAAUAACGAAGAUAAGUUUUUUUAUCCAGAUUAUUGUAUAACUUGAGCACUUUAUUGCAAAAUGCUCCUGCUUCAUUAUUCUUUAGCUGAAUGUUAGAUUCAUGAUACAAAGUUCAAUGUUUGCAGGCGAAGUACAAUUUUGCGCACAUAAUUCUUAUGGAGCUGAAGCAGUAACAGUUCAAUUUGGAGCAUUCUUGAAAUAUAAUUUGACAAAUGAUCGGUUUGAAGUUGGAUUCUUAAGGAGGGAAGAGAUUUGGUGUUGUAAUUGGAGGUUUUCAGAGAUCUAUAUUUAAAAGCAAUAAUUGAAAGUGCAGAUCUUGCUGGAACAAGAAACGGUCUGUUGGAACAAGUUUGGGAUUGCUUGGUUGGUGCUGACGUGGCUCGUGGAGUUGAAGAUAAAUAUCAGAAAGAUAUUAGAGAGAUCAAAUCAGAAGAAACGUGCAAUUGAAGAUAUUCUUGGAGAAGAAUAUUAUUGAAGAUUUGUUUCUUUUAUUUAGAAGAGGAUAUUUUCCUUUUGUAUCGGGAUAAAAUCUAGGGUGACAUAUCUCAUAGGUAUAUGGGUAUAUAUACUAGGGAGAUGUGUGUUGCUAGGGCUAGCCGAAAAGAGAGAGAGAAAAAUGAAUUGCUCUGUUUCGGUGCUUUUGUAGGCAAGUCGAGCUGCUUGCUGGAACACAGGUUUAGUUGUUCUAAUACUGGGUGUAACUAGAUAUUGUUUGGUGUCGAACUAAGAGGUUUUUAGUGUCGUGUAAUUCCAGUUAGGCAAGGUCUUGUUGUAAAGAUUGUCUAAGUGAAUCUAGUUAUUGUUUUGAGGACGUAGGCACGUUGCCGAACCUCGUUAA